AACUUUCAGCAACGGAUCACUUGGCUCUCGCAUCGAUGAAGAACGCAGCGAAAUUCGAUAAGUAAUGUGAAUUGCAGAAUUCAGUGAAUCAUCGAAUCUUUGAACGCACCUUGCGCCCUUUGGCAUUCCGAAGGGCAUGCCUGUUUGAGUAUCAUGAACACCUCAACUCUUCAUGGUUUUCCAUGAUGAGCUUGGACUUUGGGGGUCUUGCUGGCCUGCGGUCGGCUCCUCUCAAAUGAAUCAGCUUGCCAGUGUUUGGUGGGCAUAACAGGUGUGAUAACUAUCUACGCUUGUGGUUUUCCACCAGGUAACCUUCAGCAGUGGAGGUUCACUGGAGCUCACAGACGUCUCUCCUCAGUGAGGACAGCCCUUUGAAUGUUUGAUCUCAAAUCAGGUAGGACUACCCGCUGAACUUAAGCAUAUCAAUAAGCGGAGGCU
rnacentral:misc_RNA from 1 species